AGAGUUUGAUCCUGGCUCAGAUUGAACGCUGGCGGUAGGCUUAACACAUGCAAGUCGAGCGGAAACGAUGUAGCUUGCUACAGGCGUCGAGCGGCGGACGGGUGAGUAACGCGUAGGAAUCUGCCUAGUAGUGGGGGACAACCUGUGGAAACGCAGGCUAAUACCGCAUAAGCCCUGAGGGGGAAAGGAGGGGAUCUUCGGACCUUUCGCUAUUAGAUGAGCCUGCGUGAGAUUACCUACUUGGUGAGGUAAAGGCUCACCAAGGCGACUAUCUCUAGCUGGUCUGAGAGGAUGAUCAGCCACACUGGGACUGAUACAGGUCCACACUCCUACGGGAGGCAGCAGUGGGGAAUAUUGGACAAUGGGCGCAAGCCUGAUCCAUCCAUACCGCGUGUGUCAAUAACGCCCUAAGGUUGUAAACCACUUUCAGAAGGGAGGAAAGGUUGAUGCUUAAUACGUAUUAGCUGUGACGUUACCUUCCGCAA
rnacentral:rRNA from 1 species